CCCCCGAGACCGCCUGCGGACAGCUACAAUGGUCCAAGGGCAUCUACAAUGGCCCCCUCGCGUGCCAAACUCCGGAGUGCACUACCUGUGUGGAGCGACCACCAUAGGUGCAGACAGGCUAUGUGAGCUCGAUCCAAUCCUCAUAACUGGGAACAUCCUAUCCACUAAGGAUAAUGUCAUCAACUGGAAACACCCUAUCAUCUAGGGUUAAUAACUGAUCAACUCAAUGCCAGUCUAAUACUCAACCUUCUAGUGUUUCAACUACACUAAGGUUCUCAUAUGUGCUAUCAACUAGAUGCCACUCAUUAUAGGUUAACAUUAACUAGAUGCCACUCGUCCUUUACAAGUUUCCAAGACUCUAGUUCACACUUUACUAGGUUCUUCGUUCACACAACACAAACACUAGGUUAUCAUUUGCCUAGGUUCCAAUCCAUCACAUAUCAUCUCAUAUAGGGUUAAGGUGCACAUACUAACUUUAUGCAUACUAGAUUCAAGUGUUAUAUCUACCAAGCUACAUUAACACUAGCAUGCAAAUAUAGAUACAAGUUUCUAAACACCCUAUAUGCAACAUCAUAAUAUGCAACUUGAUCAAUGACAGUUUAGAGUUUCCAAUGCAAUAGCUAAUACAUUACUAAGUUCUCAUCCACACCUAUCAUCUCAUUAUAGGGUUUCACAUCACAUAUAUAAACCUCAAGCAUGUUAGAUAUAAGCACUAAGCCAAAUACAUUACUAUUUCAAGAAGCAUGCAAUAUAUAUAUAG
rnacentral:lncRNA from 1 species